UCAAGUAAUGAAGUGCACAUGGUGGAUGCCUUGGCAGUCAGAGGCGAUGAAAGACGUGAUAGCCUGCGAUAAGCGUCGGUGAGGUGGCAAUAUCCUGUGACCCGGCGAUUUCUGAAUGGGGAAACCCAACCAACACAAGUUGGUUAUUACACAGUUUACUGUGUAAGGCAAACCGGGAGAAGUGAAACAUCUCAGUACCCCGAGGAAAAAACAUCAAAUGAGAUUCCGUAAGUAGCGGCGAGCGAACACGGAGGAGCCGAUCAAUUUUACAGUAGCAAAAUGGCGUGGGAAAGCCAACCAUAGUAGGUGAUAGUCCUGUAUGCGAAACUGUUUAAGCGACAUAUUAAGUAGGGCGGAACACGAGAAAUUCUGUCUGAAGAUGGGGGGACCAUCCUCCAAGGCUAAAUACUCCUGACUGACCGAUAGUGAACCAGUACCGUGAGGGAAAGGCGAAAAGAACCCCUGUUAGGGGAGUGAAAUAGAACCUGAAACCGUGUGCAUACAAGCAGUCGGAGCGGACUUGUUCCGUGACGGCGUACCUUUUGUAUAAUGGGUCAGCGACUUAUAUUCUGUAGCAAGGUUAACCGAAUAGGGGAGCCGUAGGGAAACCGAGUCUUAAUAGGGCGAAUGAGUUGCAGGGUAUAGACCCGAAACCGAGUGAUCUAUCCAUGAGCAGGUUGAAAGUGCCGUAACAGGCACCGGAGGACCGAACCCACUGUCGUUGAAAAGCCAGGGGAUGACUUGUGGAUAGGGGUGAAAGGCUAAUCAAACUCGGUGAUAGCUGGUUCUCCCCGAAAGCUAUUUAGGUAGCGCCUCGGACGAACACCAUUGGGGGUAGAGCACUGUUUCGGCUAGGGGGUCAUCCCGACUUACCAAACCGAUGCAAACUCCGAAUACCGAUGAGUGAUAUCCGGGAGACAGACGGCGGGUGCUAACGUCCGUCGUCAAGAGGGAAACAACCCAGACCGCCAGCUAAGGCCCCAAAUUCCUAGUUAAGUGGGAAACGAUGUGGGAAGGCACAGACAGCUAGGAGGUUGGCUUAGAAGCAGCCACCCUUUAAAGAAAGCGUAAUAGCUCACUAGUCGAGUCGGCCUGCGCGGAAGAUGUAACGGGGCUCAAACUAGGAGCCGAAGCUGCGGAUUUAAUUGUUUCAAUUAAGUGGUAGGGGAGCGUUGUGUAAGCCUGUGAAGGUGCACUGUAAGGUGUGCUGGAGGUAUCACAAGAGCGAAUGCUGACGUGAGUAACGACAAAACGGGUGAAAAGCCCGUUCGCCGGAAGACCAAGGGUUCCAGUCCAACGUUAAUCGGGGCUGGGUGAGUCGACCCCUAAGGCGAGGCCGAAAGGCGUAGUCGAUGGGAAAUCGGUUAAUAUUCCGAUACUUGUUUAUGAUGCGAUGGAGGGACGGAGAAGGUUAUGCCAGCCUGGCGAUGGUUGUCCAGGUGGAAGGAUGUAGUUAGACUGAGUAGGCAAAUCCGCUCGGUUAUUAAUGAGAUCUGAUAGCAAGCCAGUUUACUGGCGAAGUGGCAAAUACCCUGCUUCCAGGAAAAGCUUCUAAGCGAUAGUCAUAAACGAAUCGUACCCGAAACCGACACAGGUGGUCAGGUAGAGAAUACCAAGGCGCUUGAGAGAACUCUGCUGAAGGAACUAGGCAAAAUGGUACCGUAACUUCGGGAGAAGGUACGCUGCCGAUGGUGAUAAGACUUGCUCUUUGAGCUGUUGGCAGUCGCAGAUACCAGGCUGCUGCAACUGUUUAUUAAAAACACAGCACUCUGCAAACACGAAAGUGGACGUAUAGGGUGUGAUGCCUGCCCGGUGCUGGAAGGUUAAUUGAUGGGGUUAGCGUAAGCGAAGCUCUUGAUCGAAGCCCCAGUAAACGGCGGCCGUAACUAUAACGGUCCUAAGGUAGCGAAAUUCCUUGUCGGGUAAGUUCCGACCUGCACGAAUGGCAUAAUGAUGGCAGCGCUGUCUCCAGCAGAGACUCAGUGAAAUCGAAAUCGCAGUGAAGAUGCUGUGUACCCGCGGCUAGACGGAAAGACCCCGUGAACCUUUACUACAGCUUUACAUUGAACUUUGACCUAACUUGUGUAGGAUAGGUGGGAGGCUUUGAAGCAGAUACGCCAGUAUCUGUGGAGCCAACCUUGAAAUACCACCCUGGUUAUGUUGGGGUUCUAACUUAGAUAUAACAGUAUCAAGGACAAUGUAUGGUGGGUAGUUUGACUGGGGCGGUCUCCUCCUAAAGAGUAACGGAGGAGUACGAAGGUGCGCUCAGAACGGUCGGAAAUCGUUCAAAGAGUAUAAAGGCAAAAGCGCGCUUAACUGCGAGACCCACAAGUCGAGCAGGUACGAAAGUAGGUCUUAGUGAUCCGGUGGUUCUGUAUGGAAGGGCCAUCGCUCAACGGAUAAAAGGUACUCUGGGGAUAACAGGCUGAUACCGCCCAAGAGUUCAUAUCGACGGCGGUGUUUGGCACCUCGAUGUCGGCUCAUCUCAUCCUGGGGCUGAAGCAGGUCCCAAGGGUAUGGCUGUUCGCCAUUUAAAGAGGUACGCGAGCUGGGUUUAGAACGUCGUGAGACAGUUCGGUCCCUAUCUACCGUGGGCGUUGGAAAUUUGAGAGGAUCUGCUCCUAGUACGAGAGGACCAGAGUGGACGAACCUCUGGUGUUUCGGUUGUCACGCCAGUGGCAUUGCCGAGUAGCUACGUUCGGAUGGGAUAACCGCUGAAAGCAUCUAAGCGGGAAGCCCACCUCAAGAUAAGAUUUCCCUAAGAGCCGUUGUAGACUACGACGUUGAUAGGUUGGGUGUGGAAGUGUAGUGAUACAUGUAGCUAACCAAUACUAAUUGCUCGUUUGGCUUGACCAU
rnacentral:rRNA from 1 species